rnacentral:misc_RNA from 1 species
AACGCACAUUGCGCCCUUUGGUAUUCCGAAGGGCAUGCCUGUUCGAGCGUCAUUAUCAACCAUCAAGCCUGGCUUGUCGUUGGACCCCCUUCGCCGUGUCCCCUCACGGCGAGGUCCGAAAGAUAAUGGCGGUGUCGCGUUGACCCCACGUACAACGAGCUUUCACGGCACGUACGGCGGCGGUGUAACCGGCCCAGUCUCCCUUUUAUAUCUCCAAAAGUUGACCUCGGAUCAGGUAGGAAUACCCGCUGAACUUAA